rnacentral:rRNA from 1 species
GAUAAACGCUGGCGGCGUGCAUGAGACAUGCAAGUCGAACGGACGACCCGGUUCGCCGGGAAGUUAGUGGCGGACGGCUGAGUAACGCGUAGGUGACCUGCCCCGAAGUGGGGAAUAACUGCCCGAAAGGGUGGCUAAUACCGCAUGUGGUGGUGCGUUCAUUCGCACCAGUAAAGCCGCGAGGCGCUUCGGGAGGGGCCCGCGUCCGAUUAGCUCGUUGGUGGGGUAACGGCUCACCAAGGCGACGAUC